rfam:Pteropus alecto contig166460, whole genome shotgun sequence.
AUUCUUUUGUAGUUUGUAAACUUGAUGAUUGGGUGGUCACACUUUUGUGUGAGAUGUGCCUCCCUUAAACCUCAUUAUGACAUUGGCACAUUAGCCAUCUGGCA